UACGGAGGAUCCAAGCGUUAUCCGGAUUUAUUGGGUUUAAAGGGUGCGUAGGCGGGCUGUUAAGUCAGUGGUGAAAGGUUGACGCUCAACGUUAACAUUGCCAUUGAAACUGGUAGUCUUGAGUGCAAAUGAGGUAGGCGGAAUGUGUUGUGUAGCGGUGAAAUGCAUAGAUAUGACACAGAACACCGAUUGCGAAGGCAGCUUACUGGAAUGUAACUGACGCUGAGGCACGAAAGCGUGGGGAUCAAACAGGAUUAGAUACCCUGGUAGUCCACGCAGUAAACGAUGAUUACUAGCUGUUAGCGAUAGAAUGUUAGUGGCUAAGCGAAAGCGAUAAGUAAUCCACCUGGGGAGUACGUUCGCAAGAAUGAAACUCAAAGGAAUUGACGGGGGCCCGCACAAGCGGAGGAACAUGUGGUUUAAUUCGAUGAUACGCGAGGAACCUUACCCGGGCUUGAAAUGCAUCUGACGAAUCAGGAAACUGAUUUUCUAGCAAUAGCAGAUGUGUAGGUGCUGCAUGGUUGUCGUCAGCUCGUGCCGUGAGGUGUCGGCUUAAGUGCCAUAACGAGCGCAACCCUUGUCAUUAGUUACUAACAGGUUAAGCUGAGGACUCUAAUGAGACUGCCAUCGUAAGAUGCGAGGAAGGUGGGGAUGACGUCAAAUCAGCACGGCCCUUACGUCCGGGGCGACACACGUGUUACAAUGGAGGGUACAGAGGGUCGCUACCUAGUGAUAGGAUGCUAAUCUCGAAAGCCUUUCGUAGUUCGGAUUGGAGUCUGCAACUCGACUCCAUGAAGCCGGAUUCGCUAGUAAUCGCGCAUCAGCCAUGGCGCGGUGAAUACGUUCCCGGGCCUUGUACACACCGCCCGUCAAGCCAUGGGAGUUGGGGGUGCCUAAAGAUUGUGACCGCAAGGAGCGAUUUAGGGCAAAACCAGUGACUGGGGCU
rnacentral:rRNA from 1 species